GGAAGUAAAAGUCUAACAAGGUUUCCGUAGGUGAACCUGCGGAAGGAUCAUUAAUGAGUUGUCAUGGGGUUCGAUGCUGGCAGCCAAUUUUUGGAUGCAUGUGCUUGCCCUAACAAUCAUCUUCCAAACACCUGUGCACAUUUUUGAGGGAGUCUUGAGUUGGUUGCCGCUCUUGGGUGAUUUUCUCACAUUCCCUUAAAUCAUUAUACGCUAUUAACAAUGUUGAACGUGCUCUGUGCCGCAAGGCUAUUAAUAUAAUACAACUUUUAACAACGGAUCUCUUGGCUCUC
rnacentral:misc_RNA from 1 species